UCCGGCAUCGUUUAACGGUAGGACGUCCGGCUCUGAACCGGAAAAUCGUGGUUCGAAUCCAUGUGCCGGAACCA
rnacentral:tRNA from 1 species